UGUUACUUUUAAAUGAAAAGAUUUUGGAACAGUAAUGUUGAUGAAAUUUAACGGAUUUGGCGGCAAGAUAGCCCCUUAGAGGAACCUGCCCUGUAAACGAUGAGCCACGAAGGACUUUACUUUUUUUGGUAAUCAGUUUGUAUAUCGCUGUUGUCAGUUAGAUUCUUGAGAAUAUUUUCAUUAAUGAUAAGUUCAUUGACUUCAAGUAAAGGUGCAGCUAAUAAGAAAGGUAGAGGUGGGUUACAUUUAUAAGAAUAACACGGAUGAGGCGUAUGAAAUAGCCUUUGAAGGUGGAUUUAACUGUAAAGCUUAAUAAAGCUUGGUGAGAGCUCUAUCUUGUG
rnacentral:rRNA from 1 species